rnacentral:rRNA from 1 species
GUGGGGAAUUUUGGACAAUGGGGGCAACCCUGAUCCAGCCAUGCCGCGUGCGGGAAGAAGGCCUUCGGGUUGUAAACCGCUUUUGUCAGGGAAGAAAUCCUUUGGGUUAAUACCUCGGAGGGAUGACGGUACCUGAAGAAUAAGCACCGGCUAACUACGUGCCAGCAGCCGCGGUAAUACGUAGGGUGCGAGCGUUAAUCGGAAUUACUGGGCGUAAAGCGUGCGCAGGCGGUUUUGUAAGAUCGAUGUGAAAUCCCCGGGCUCAACCUGGGAACUGCAUUGGUGACUGCAAGGCUGGAGUGCGGCAGAGGGGGAUGGAAUUCCAGGUGUAGCGGUGAAAUGCGUAGAGAUCUGGAGGAAUACCGAUGGCGAAGGCAGCCAUCUGGCCUAAUACUGACACUGAGGUGCGAAAGCAUGGGGAGCAAACAGGAUUAGAUACCCUUGUAGUCC